GAUUUUGUUGCAAAUGAGCCGAACCCUCCAGGUGUAGGCUAUCCUGCAGAUCAACACUGUGUCUAUAGUUAUUAUGAUAAAAAUGGUGAAGCAAUCGGGAUACCUACUGCUUCGUCAUGGUUGUGGAUAGUUCCAAAGGGACUAUAUGAUCA